GACAACGGCCGCGCCACGUUGCAAAACACCAGUUCCCGUCGAUCACUGAAGUCAAGCAACGUUGGGCACGGUGAGCGCUCGGAUGGGUUGCCGCCGUGUGCUGUUGUCU
rfam:Cerapachys biroi unplaced genomic scaffold scaffold477, whole genome shotgun sequence.